GUGGGGAGCCUGUGGGUUGGUACUUACUGGAAAUGUUGUGGUAUUUUUGACAAUCUUGGGCUUCUUUUUGGCUUUUGAUAAUGACGAAGUCGACUACAGCAUGUGGUGAUUUAUUUAUUGCUUAGAGAGCGAACAGAUUUGUAGACUGGUUGACAUCAACCUCGUAUUAGUUGUCCAGGUUCUUGAACAUUUUGUAGAUUGGGAUACAACAAGUGAGAUGAAUACAUGGCUAUGUUUAUACUUCUGUACUUUCUGUGUAAAACAUGUCACGUAGAUGUCAAGAGGAAGUUCCAUUUACAUUCAUGUUUAAAUGUUAUAAAUGACUUUUGUUUCAAAUAACAGCUACUCUCAAGAAUUCAAGUCUUCACAAAGUUUUGUUGAUGUUUCAGAGCUCCUUUACAGAUGAGAAAUAUAAACAAAUAUGGGAGUUAUUUCUUCAGUGUUUUAGCUAGCAGAGGAUAAGAAUACCUUUAAAGUUUUUGUUUUCAUAUAUGAAUUACAUUUGAUUUUUCUACUUCUUAAUGAAACAAAAAGUUUAUGAAUCAAGUUGUGGUUUUGUGAAAGGAACAAAAAAUGCAACUGACCUGUGCAAAACAGUUGUUUGAAAGCGAGUGGAUAUAUAGGUGUGUUUGAAAGCGAGUGGAUAUACAGGUGUGUAUGAAAGUGAGUGGAUAUAUUGGUGUGUUUGAAAGGGAGUGGAUAUACAGGUGUGUUUGAAAGCGAGUGGAUAUACAGGUGUGUAUGAAAGCGAGUGGAUAUACAGGUGUGUAUGAAAGUGAGUGGAUAUACAGGUCUGGUAUGUUUCACAGGGGAAAAAUUUAAUACUAUAUAUCAGCAUAAGGAACAAUACAAGCUAGACGUUAGUUGUCCUGUACAGAUAGUACCAGUAAGUCCUAAGAAGACAUGAUUUAUUCAGCUAGUAACCGUUUCACACUCUUCAAUAUAAAUGUAGUUUCUUCAAAAUAUGUCAUGUGUUUAUAUUAAUUCAUUUAGAACUACUAAUGUAAUGAAUUUAAGGUUUUAUUUUGUUUAGAUGUCGUAUUUAUACACUAAGCCUGGCACUGUUCAAAUAUUAGGGGUGGUGGGGAUGUACAAGUGGAACUAAAGCUACUGGUAUACAUCCCUCCCCCCCUCCCAAAAGAAAUGUACUGAGAUAAAGACUUAGCAGAAGAAUGAAAUGGAUACUUGUUUAAUGAUGGUGUGUUUUUAUUCACGAGAAUCUAAUGUUAAUUAAAGUAAAUUGAUAGAACAAAACCUAGUGAAGUUUUGGUGGUGGUAAAAUUUCAUUAAUUACUGCUGAGAACAUUUGAGAUGUAGGUAGCUUGGUGGUGUAGAAAGACCUGAACUUGUAAAUAACGACCCCUGAAUGUGUUCUUUAAUCAUUCUAAAGAAUGUCAUUAUGUACAAGUUUGUGAUGUAAAUAUAUUUUUUUUAAGUACCAUUUUUUUGUUAAAUCAAUAAAAUAUUAACAGAGUGA